AUUAUCUCGAGCAUCAACGCCCUCAUUUUUCUAACGUCACAAAAAAUGUUCCAUACCAAAUCCACGAAGUUUGAAAGAAUCGCUACCGUGGAAACGUUGAUUUAGUUCUCGAUCGGGAGUGAACGAACUGAUCUGAUUUAUUCGUCCGAUCGGAAUGGUCGGAUUGCAAAACGUUUAUAAACAAGAGAGCUUAUCCGAAGCACACGUUCUCUCGGUCAGGUUCGCAGGCUCGCGCAGACGGUUCACGUUGUCAUAGAGGCAGCAAGGGCGGCAUAUAUGAGAAGGCACAUACAACAGCGCGCUAAUAUUAGCGUUGCAACACGCUAACCUAGCUCCCAGCUUAUUCUUGGCACAGACCAGCUGCUUGUUGCCUUGCCAGAGUCAAGGUCACGGCGUUAUACCAGAACAAAGCAUGUUGACUAAUGAUAAUUAAGGGGCGAGAAUAUGGAUCGUGAUGCUUGACUGGACCUCGAGUGAUCGCUUCGAUAAUUCCAGUGGACCAUAAGUUCUUCAACCCUGCAACGAUCUUAGCCAUAAUUGGUCUAACGGAAUAUCGGUGGAGGAGCCAUUCGGUAUUCAGAAGUCAAACUUCAGAAGAUUCCAAAAAAUUGACUUGAAAAAUUUUCUUUUAAAAAUUUGGAAGUGAAUGCGGGGCCCGAAAAUAUUUCAGCUGUCAGGCUCAAAAUCGAACGAGAAGCCGAGCCAACGUAACCGUGAUGACCGAUGGAAUUUUUUUUGGUCCAACCGCUUAAGGGAGUACGAGCCCACGAAAGAUCGUACGAAAAUUUGUAUUAGCAAAAAAGCGGAUCAAUAAAUGAAAAUAUUCUUGU